CCCUUAGAUGUUCUGGGAUGCACGCGCGUUACACUGAUUCGUUCAACGAGUUUAUGACCUUGCCUGAUGAGGUGGGGGAAUCUUUUCAAAUCGCAUCGUGAUGGGGAUAGAGUAUUGUAACUGUUAGUCUUCAACGAGGAAUUCCUAGUAGUACGUGUCAUCAGCUCGUACUGAUUAUGUCCCUGCCCUUUGUACACACCGCCCGUCGCUCCUACCGAUUGAGUGCUCAGGUGAAUAGUAUGGACUGCAUCAGUGUUCGGUCUCCGAAUGUUGACGCGAGAAAUUCUGUGAAUCUUAUUGCUUAGAGGAAGGAGAAGUCGUAACA
rnacentral:rRNA from 1 species